CCCCAAGUCUAGUCUAAGUGAACACUAGAAAGGAUGUGGCAAGUCAUUGACAACCAGGAGGUUGGCUUAGAAGCAGCCAUCCUUUAAAGAAAGCGUAAUAGCUCACUGGUCGAGACAGGCCGCGCCGAAAAUGUAACGGGGCUCAAGACUAGCGCCGAAGCUUCGGAUUGCAUGCGUCAGGCGCAUGCAGUGGUAGGGGAGCGUUGCAACAACUGAGAAGCUAGACCGCAAGGGCUGGUGGAGUGGUUGCGAGUGCUGAUGCCGAAAUGAGUAGCGAUAAAGGGGGUGGGAAACCCCCUCGCCGUAAACCCAAGGUUUCCUGGGUCAAGUUAAUCUUCCCAGGGUUAGCCGGGACCUAAGCCGAGGCCGAAAGGCGUAGGUGAUGGCAAGCAGGUUAAUAUUCCUGCGCCAUCUUGUAGACGUUGAACCGAGGAAGGACGGAGAAAGCUAGGCGAGCUGACCGGUGGUUGUGUCAGUCCAAAGGCGUAGGGGUGUCGCGUACGAAUAAAGGCGCGGCAGCUAUCCCCGAGACCCCAUGGCCCCCCUCACGGGGCAAGUCGCUGAUGCUCGGCUUCCAAGAAAAGUUCCGCGGGGAGUCUACAGGGUGUCCGUACCGCAAACCGACACAGGUGGGUGAGGAGAAAAUCCUAAGGCGCUUGAGAGAACUCUCCUCCAAGGAACUAGGCAAAUUUCCACCGUAACUUCGGAAGAAGGUGGGCCCCUGGUAGGUGUAGGCGUACAGCCGAAGCCCAGAGGGGUUGCAGAGAAAUGGCGGUAGCGACUGUUUACCAAAAACACAGGACUCUGCGAAGGCAAGAAGCCGACGUAUAGGGUCUGACUCCUGCCCGGUGCUGGAAGGUUAAGGGGAUUCGUCAGCCGCAAGGUGAAGCGAUGAUCCGAAGCCCCAGUAAACGGCGGCCGUAACUAUAACGGUCCUAAGGUAGCGAAAUUCCUUGUCGGGUAAGUUCCGACCUGCACGAAUGGAGUAACGACUUCCGCGCUGUCUCGGAGAGGGACUCAGCGAAAUUGAAAUAGCUGUGCCGAUGCAGUUUACCCGCAGCAAGACGGAAAGACCCCGUGAACCUUUACUACAACUUGACAGUGACACUAGGGUUCGACUGUGUAGGAUAGGUGGGAGCCUUUGAAGCCGGGCCGCUAGGUUCGGUGGAGGCAACGGUGAAAUACCACCCUGUCGGAUUCUGGUGUCUAACCAUGCUCCCUCACCGGGAGUUGGAACACUGUCUGGUGGGUAGUUUGACUGGGGCGGUCGCCUCCCAAAACGUAACGGAGGCGCGCGAUGGUUCCCUCAGCCCGAUUGGAAACCGGGCGUCGAGUGCAAUGGCAUAAGGGAGCUUGACUGCGAGACGGACACGUCGAGCAGGUGCGAAAGCAGGUCAUAGUGAUCCGGUGGUCCUGAAUGGAAGGGCCAUCGCUCAACGGAUAAAAGGUACUCCGGGGAUAACAGGCUUAUCUCCCCCAAGAGUUCACAUCGACGGGGAGGUUUGGCACCUCGAUGUCGGCUCAUCGCAUCCUGGGGCUGGAGCAGGUCCCAAGGGUUUGGCUGUUCGCCAAUUAAAGCGGUACGCGAGCUGGGUUCAAAACGUCGUGAGACAGUUUGGUCCCUAUCUGCUGUGGGCGUAGGAUACUUGAGAGGCUCUGACCUUAGUACGAGAGGACCGGGUUGGAGACACCGCUGGUGUACCAGUUGUCUCGCCAGAGGCAUCGCUGGGUAGCCAUGUGUCGAUUGGAUAACCGCUGAAAGCAUCUAAGCGGGAAACCGACCUCAAGAACAGGUAUCCCGGGCGCAAGCCCCAGAAGACCCGUCGAAGACGACGACGUUGAUAGGCCGGGUGUGUAAGCGUGGUAACACGUUGAGCUAACCGGUACUAAUAGGUCGAGAGGCUUACUUUACCUCAAUCUCU
rnacentral:rRNA from 1 species